GUAUAUUUUCUGCUUCAUGGGGGUAUGUCUUAUUUAUACAUCAGUUAUGAUGCUAACGAGAAUCUUCUUGUUUGAAAUCAAACUAAUUACAGUUGACAGCAUACCAAAUGAAAAUGAUCUCAAAUCUGCUAGUCAUUUUUGAAGUUUUGCAAAAAUUUGAAGUUCUAAGUUUUUAUAACACUCAAACCAUUGUUAAUGUACAAAUAAUCCCAUUUAUUGUAUACUACAUGGGAUCUCUGGCAAAGAAAAUGGAGCCUUGAAAAUCUGUCAUGUUACAUCUUUUGGUUUUUAUCCUCACUCUCUUGUUUCUCAUUUCAUUCUGACUUUUUUUGAUCUCAGACUUUCUCUCCAGCUACUGUUCUUGAAAUUGUCAGCAUACGCAGCGACCUUCUACUAAGAUGAUUUCAUUUGCUUGUGAUUUUUAUUGUUAGUACUAAUAUCAGGUCCUUGAGUGAAUGGCAAACCAGUCUUCAAUUAAUGCAAGGCCUUUGGUAGUUUUCUCAGAUUUGUAGUUAAUUUUAUUCUGCUACCUUAUCAGAAGGAUUUUUUUUUUUUUGGGGGGGGGGGGCUAGUGACUGAAAAUUUCAGGUGUUUUUAUGGAGUUUUGGUUUGAGAAUUUCUUGAUUUUCCAAAUCCAGUUAUGCCACUUGCGCUUAAACAUCAGAAGUGACAUGUCAUUGCCUUCUAGGCUAAUUAUCAUUUAUUUGCCCUUUCUCGCAUAUAAUAAGGAUCAUGUUUUGAGGACUUGGUACAAGAAUUGCUGUUCCUACAUCAGCUUGUGGAACCAAGCUAAUAAACCAACCCUUCAUGUUUGUAAAAUUUGUGUAUCCAAAUUUUUCUUUUGAAAAGUGAUCUGGUAUCAUUUGAGAAAAAUAGCUGGUAGCAAUGCACUGUACACAUCUCAAAAAUUUCACCUACCGCAUAUGACUUUGAACAUUUUUUACCACAUUUAUCCCUUGUGAUUACAGAUAUUGAAGAAGCAAACCAUGCAUAAAUUUUAUGAUCUUUCUGUUAACUCUGAAUAGGUCAUUAAAAACGAAAUUUGGUGGCAGGGUUGAUAUAUUUGAAGAAGUUAAGGAACGGGUGAAUAUUCACAUAUAACUCUUCUAAAAGGAAAUGCCAAAAAGCUCUGCUUUAUGUUUACAAGCCAUGGGUUAUUGUGUUAAAUCUUUUCCUUCUUGAGCUUGCAGUUUUGAAUGCCCAUACAUGUAUUGCUGGGCAAUAUCUCUGUAGCCGAUGAAAGGUCUUGUCAUUUGCAUAAGACAGCCGAGUCCAUCCAAAAGAAUAGCUACUUCUGCAGACUUUUCAAAUCAAGCUUCUGCUAACACAAAUCAAUGUUCAUGUCCUUUGUCGGUAAGUCUCAUUCGUAAAUUUUGGACCAAAUGAUUGCAAUUUUUGGUUUUCUCUUCUUGUUCUGUGGAAUACUUUUGGUGAAAGGUCAGGUCAAGGAAACCAACAAAACUUAAAGUCCCAUUCAACAAAGGAAAAGGAGAUUGAAUCGUGGUUUUUGGGAUAGAAGAUGUUAUGGUUAUUAAAAAAAGCCUUCAAUCUUGAAAUUUUAGAUAAAAAAGCAGAUCUCGUGGAAUAUAAGCUAAGAACUUUUCAAAGUGCGUAGUUUGGGACCACUAAGGAUGCUGCUAUACUACUACAUCAAGGUAAGAUUACUAGGCACGUAAGAAAUAGAAAGUUGUCAUGUUUUUAUAUUCCUAAAUACCGAUCCGGUUUUGAAUAUAGGACUUAAUUGUUGAGUUG